rnacentral:rRNA from 1 species
UACAGAGGUCUCAAGCGUUGUUCGGAUUCAUUGGGCGUAAAGGGUGUGUAGGUGGCGCCGUAAGUCGGGUGUGAAAUUUCGGAGCUUAACUCCGAAACUGCAUUCGAUACUGCGGUGCUUGAGGACUGGAGAGGAGACUGGAAUUCAUGGUGUAGCAGUGAAAUGCGUAGAUAUCGGGAGGAACAUCAGUGGCGAAGGCGGCUGCCUGGCCCAAUACUGACACUCAGGUGCGACAGCGUGGGGAGCAAACAGG